UCUGCCUCUUGGAUCCAGAUUCACCCUUUAGUACCUGUUCUUUGAUAAUGGACUGGACUCAGCACUUCUUCCUUACAGUGAGCCUGAGGUUGGCUUUGUCAGUAGAGGGCACUGGAGGGACACUGGAGGAAGGAAAGGACUUGUCUUCUUGGCUGCAGGGAGCUCUGGCUUGCUUUUCCUUGCUCCUGUGCCAAGGUCUAUGAGCAGUGCAUGUGCAUGGGGACGGCGGGGACUGGUGGGGGGGCAGGCACUCCCUCGGCAACCUUGCAGACCGGGUGCAGCCCCAGUGACUACCUUGCGGUGGCCCUCCGGGCAGGGAUGCUGCGUGCUCCAGGCCUUGCACCUGGGCCAACUCCCGAACUCUGCACCUGCACCCUCAGCCUUUGUUACCUCUGCCCUGGACCAUUUUUCCCAGAGCCCCCAGGCAUGGGCACCAUAUACCCCACAGCAGUGCCCCGACUCCCUCUGCACAUCUGCUCACCAACUUUAGCUCUGCUCCCAGGAGGCCUGAUUCGCAUGGCCCUCCAGGCCUUGUGUGGAGGUCAUGCACUCCAGGCCUCGUGCACAGGGGACACGCUUAGCCCCUUUGGUCACCAUCCCAACAGUCUUGGCUCACCUGUGGCCUGGAAGGUCGUUUCCUGGGAUCUUCCCAUUGUGGGUACUGCAUGCUCAGGGCCUGGGGCCUGCAGGUGGUGUCCUUACGCUCCCUGUGCACCUGCUCACCAGCCUCACUCACCUGCGUCCUGGAGGACGGUGUGUUGCCUGGCAGCGCGAAGCACCUCUGGCCUGGGCAAACCCGUGAACUUGUCUGCCGCCCAGUGGGCUGCAGUGAGGUCUGAACCUCCGUCUUGGGGUGGGGGGACCCUGCCACGUUUGUCCUUUCUUGGGUACUCUCCCUCAGCUCUCAGGCACCUGUUUAGAAUUCUCUUUACAUCUUUAUAUUCUUUUGCCAUAAUUUUUGCCAUUACUUUAUAAUUAAUUUAUUAAUGUAGUUAUUAAUUAAUUUGUAGUAAACUUGUCGUGUAUAAAUUACCGUAUGUUUUCUGUCUCCUGAUUGGACCUAGA
rnacentral:lncRNA from 1 species